AUUGAACGCUGGCGGCAGGCCUAACACAUGCAAGUCGAGCGAGCGGCGGACGGGUGAGUAAUGUAUGGGGAUCUGCCUGAUGGAGGGGGAUAACUACUGGAAACGGUAGCUAAUACCACAUACCAUCAGAUGAACCCAUAUGGGAUUAGCUAGUAGGUGAGGUAAAGGCUCACCUAGGCGACGAUCCCUAGCUGGUCUGAGAGGAUGAUCAGCCACACUGGGACGGAGAAACGGUCCAGACUCCUACGGGAGGCAGCAGUGGGGAAUAUUGCACAAGGGGCGCAAGCCUGAUGCAGCCAUGCCGCGUGUGUGAAGAAGGCCUUCGGGUUGUAAAGUACUUUCAGUGGGGAGGCGUUACCGACAGAAGAAGCACCGGCUAACUCCGUGCCAGCAGCCGCGGUAAUUC
rnacentral:rRNA from 1 species